rnacentral:rRNA from 1 species
UACGUAGGUGGCAAGCGUUGUUCGGAAUUAUUGGGCGUAAAGGGCGCGUAGGCGGUUUGUUGCGUCGGCUGUGAAAUCCCGAGGCUCAACCUCGGGUCUGCAGUCGAUACGAGCAAACUAGAGUGUUGCAGGGGAGACUGGAAUUCCUGGUGUAGCGGUGAAAUGCGCAGAUAUCAGGAGGAACACCGGUGGCGAAGGCGGGUCUCUGGGCAACAACUGACGCUGAGGAGCGAAAGCGUGGGGAGCGAACAGG